GGCGGAUGUACCCAAGUGGAUCAAGGCAGUGGAUUGUGAAUCCCCCAGGCGGGAAA
rnacentral:tRNA from 1 species